GUUCUGCAGGAAUGGUUUCUGAAUGUCUCAUGGCCAAGACAUAGAUGUCUGAUGUCUUCAGUUCUGUUCUCCCUUUGAGGUGAAGGAAUAACCAGGGUGAAAACAAAGAAAAAAAUCCCCCCCCAAAAGUUAGAAGAUGUUUCAGGGAUUCUACUUCUUUCCAAAGGUUCAUUUAUUAGAGAUUUCUGU